UACGUAGGGGGCAAGCGUUGUCCGGAUUUAUUGGGCGUAAAGAGCGUGUAGGCGGCCUGACAGGUCUGCUGUGAAAACUCGAGGCUCAACCUCGAGAUGUCGGCGGAAACCGUCUGGCUAGAGUCCGGAAGAGGAGAGUGGAAUUCCUGGUGUAGCGGUGAAAUGCGCAGAUAUCAGGAGGAACACCAAUAGCGAAGGCAGCUCGCUGGGACGUUACUGACACUGAGGCGCGAAAGCGUGGGGAGCGAACAGG
rnacentral:rRNA from 1 species